rnacentral:rRNA from 1 species
CCCUUAGAUGUUCUGGGCUGCACGCGCGCUACACUGAUGCGCUCAACGAGUUUUAACCUUGCCUGGAAAGGUUGGGUAAUCUUUUUAAAACGCAUCGUGAUGGGGAUAGAUUAUUGCAAUUAUUAAUCUUCAACGAGGAAUUCCUAGUAAGCGCGGGUCAUCAUCCCGCGCUGAAUACGUCCCUGCCCUUUGUACACACCGCCCGUCGCUCCUACCGAUUGAGUGGUCCGGUGAGGCUUUGGGAUCUGAGCGGAAAGAGCGUUUCGCUGUUUCUGCUCGGAAAACUCAGUCGAACCUUAUCAUUUAGAGGAAGGAGAAGUCGUAACA